GUGAAACAUUUUCAAGCAUAUUCCAUUUUUAAAAUAUCUUGGUGUUUAAACUUUUAAAUUUCUUAUUACUCAGUUAGCAACCGUGAAUCAUGUCUGUCUGGAAUUGACAUUGCUGUAAGUUCAACCAAGGAAUAGGAAUUUGGUACUUUUGCCAAGAAUUGGGCCUGAGUUUUGACAAUAAUAAAUCAAGUUUAUUUUUUAGUCAAUGAGGCCAUCCUGGGAUGUGAGUUAGAGUCAAGAUGGCCUGGGGCCAGGACACCUGCAGCAGAUGGCAGGAAGUGGUCACAUGGAGAGUCUAUUUUAGGGAGCAAAAAAACAGAAGAGGUAAAUUUAUAGCUGUGGUUAUGAAGAGGUGGCUUUGAAAUUGUUUUGCCCAGCCCCACAGAUCUAAAAGUCCCUGCUGAGCAAAACAACACCUGGGUCAUUUGCAUUUCUAAAAUAAAGCUGAGAUGCGAUGCGGGCAGGAACUGGAAAGUCCCCUUGUAACUAUGUGAAUUUCAUUUUUGAGUCUUAGUUUAUCAACUUUUAGUUUUCAAAAACAGCUUAUCACCUUUUAAAUUGUAUUCAUUUUUGAAGUAUGAUGUGCAUGAAACUGCAGUCUUAGGGGCAGUUUAUUAGUGUAUUUAGGAAAGUUUUUUAAUUGCUUUGGUGUUCUUUCAUGUGAUAACUAAUAUCAGUGCUUUGUUCAAUAACUGAAGUAUUAUUUUUACAAUGAGUGUGUUCACAAUAUUUAAGCUAGUUUUGCAAUUAAGAAAAAACCACUUUGCUAUUCUGAUAAAGAUGCCUUCCUAAGCAUUUUUCAAGACCACUCAUUGAGUAUUCACUUAGGAGAUAUUUGAGGUAAGAUGUGUAUAAUCGCCUUGGAUUAUUUCAGUUAAACAUCUUAGUUGGUGGAUAAAGAGAAAUUCAGCCAGAUAAUGCAAAGGCAAGGCCUUUAGAACUUUGACAGGGCAGAAUGCUUCGCCUCUACCCAGCUUCCUGCUGACAGGCUGCUGGCUAAGGUCUGAGUGUGGGUUAAUGCUGGACCUGGCUUCAGCUUGGGGUCCCAGGACCACCCAGACCUGGGAAUGUGUGGCAGUGGCUUCUGCCACCAGGCCAACUGGCUCUUCGGGAACCAGCCAGCUUUAAUGGACUUGAAGGAAAUAUUCCAUGCCAAAGACCCUCAAGAACUUCCAGUGACUGGGCACCCAACAUGGUAAGCAAGAGGCAGCCACCCCUGCCAUGUUUGCUUCUCUUAAAAGUUUGCAUUUGAUGCUUGUUUCUAUUGGAAAGGGAAUCAGACUUUAUUAUUGGAGAAAGGAAAUGAAACUUAUUUGUGAAUCCUUGGAGUGAUUGUUGUCUGGAUCACUCACAGGCAACAUUCCCUGAAAGACAUGUCAAGGAAAAACGGGCACCAGCCGCUCUAAGGCUUAUUAACUAUUGGUCAAUCGGUUCAUGGUGCUUUAAAAUGUACAAAGAACCAAUGGUGUUGUAUCCAUUUAAGUUAUCAAUGCAGAUUUGAUUUUAGACUAUUACACUUUCUAAAGAGUUUCAUGGCAAACAAGAAUUUUAAGUGGCAAAUUUAGAUAAAAUGUUUUACAUGGUUGUUGUUAAUGAUAGUUUUGAUCUGGAUGGAAAUUAAAGUCAGAAGGAGGGAUCCAGGCUAAGGGAGUCUUCCAGGAGCACAGGCUCUGAGGGAGGCUCCCCCGGGCAUUUCCUACUUGCAUAGUCAAGACUCUGGGUUCUAGAGGAAAAAGAACUUUCCCUUGUUCAGAAAUGCCCCUACUUUCUUGAACGAAUCUCUAGAUGUUUCAGUGAAUUUAAAGUUUCAGAGAUAUACUUUUCCCAUUUGUUAAGGGGUGGUAGUGACUGACUGGGAGCCUCUGCAGCCUAAAGCCUGGCCCAGCAGGGUGGGAUACCAGGACAUGCAUGCCAGAGGAGAGACUGAGGGUGAUGGAGGUCAGGUGGGCUGUGCAGGAUCCAGCUGUGGAGUGUUUUAGCUGAGUUCUCCUGCGCUGUGCUGGUAUGGUCUAGGCUGGGCUGAGCUGAACUAGUAAAGCUGGGCUAGCAGAGCUGAACUGGUCUGGGCUGAGUUGAGCUAAGCUGAGCUGGGCUGAGCUGAGCUGGGCUGAGCUGAGCUGGGCUGGGCUGAGCUGAGCUGGGCUGGGCUGGCCUGAGCUAAACUAGCAGAGCUGGGCUGGAUUGGGCUGGGCUGGGCUGGAUUGAUCUGGGCUGAACUGAUCUAGCAGAGCUAGGUUGGGCUGAGCUGAGCUGAGCUGGACUAGCAGAGUUUAGCUGGUCUGAACUGAGCUAGGUUGGGCUGGGGUGGGCCAAGCAGAGCUGGGCUAGCAGAGCUUAGCUGGUCUGAACUGAACUGGGGUGAGCUAGCAGAACAAGCUUGGUCUGGGCUGAGCUGGACCCGGCUGAGGUGAGUUGAGCUGAGCUGGGCUAAACUAGGCUGAGCUGAGCUGGCCUGGGCUGGGCUGAACUGAGCUGGAUUGAAUUGAGCUGGAUUGAGCUGGGCUGAGCUGGGCUGAGCUGGGCUGGGCUGAACUAGCAAAGCUGGGCUGGGCAGAGCUGAAUUGGUCUGGGCUGGGCUGAGCUGUACUGCUUUGAGCUGGGCUGGGCUGGGCUGAGCUAAACUAGCAAAGCUGGGCUAGUAGAGCUGAACUGGUCUAGGUUGAGCUGGGCUGGGCUGAGCAGAGCUGGGCUAACAGAGUUUAGCUGGUCUGAACUGAG
ensembl:lncRNA